rnacentral:rRNA from 1 species
GCAGCCGCGGUAACACCGGCAGCUCUAGUGGUAACAAUUUUUAUUGGGCCUAAAGCGUCCGUAGCCGGUUUAAUAAGUCUCUGGUGAAAUCCUGUAGCUUAACUGUGGGAAUUGCUGGAGAUACUAUUAGACUUGAGACCGGGAGAGGUUAGAGGUACUCCCAGGGUAGAGGUGAAAUUCUGUAAUCCUGGGAGGACCGCCUGUUGCGAAGGCGUCUAACUGGAACGGUUCUGACGGUGAGGGACGAAAGUUAGGGGCGCGAACCGGAUUAGAUACCCC